rnacentral:rRNA from 1 species
AAAUGGAUUGCUUAUUGCACCACAUGUGUUUUUCUUUGAAACAAACUUGCUUUGGCGGUGGGCCCAGCCUGCCGCCAGAGGUCUAAACUUACAACCAAUUUUUUAUCAACUUGUCACACCAGAUUAUUACUAAUAGUCAAAACUUUCAACAACGGAUCUCUUGGUUCUCGCAUCGAUGAAGAACGCAGCGAAAUGCGAUACGUAAUAUGAAUUGCAGAUAUUCGUGAAUCAUCGAAUCUUUGAACGCACAUUGCGCCCUCUGGUAUUCCGGAGGGCAUGCCUGUUUGAGCGUCGUUUCUCCCUCAAACCGCUGGGUUUGGUGUUGAGCAAUACGACUUGGGUUUGCUUGAAAGACGGUAGUGGUAAGGCGGGAUCGCUUUGACAAUGGCUUAGGUCUAACCAAAAACAUUGUUUGCGGCGGUAACGUCCACCACGUAUAUCUUCAAACUUUGACCUCAAAUCAGGUAGGACUACCCGCUGAACUUAAGCAUAUCAAUAAGCGGAGGAA